rnacentral:rRNA from 1 species
GACGAACGCUGGCGGCGUGCUUAACACAUGCAAGUCGAACGGAAAGGCCCUGCUUGCAGGGUACUCGAGUGGCGAACGGGUGAGUAACACGUGGGUGAUCUGCCCUGCACUUCGGGAUAAGCCUGGGAAACUAGGUCUAAUACCGGAUAGGAGCCAUUUUUAGUGUGAUGGUUGGAAAGUUUUUUCGGUGUAGGAUGAGCUCGCGGCCUAUCAGCUUGUUGGUGGGGUAAUGGCCUACCAAGGCGGCGACGGGUAGCCGGCCUGAGAGGGUGGACGGCCACAUUGGGACUGAGAUACGGCCCAGACUCCUACGGGAGGCAGCAGUGGGGAAUAUUGCACAAUGGGCGCAAGCCUGAUGCAGCGACGCCGCGUGUGGGAUGACGGCCUUAGGGUUGUAAACUCCUUUCGCUAGGGACGAAGCUUUUUGUGACGGUACCUAGAGAAGAAGCACCGGCUAACUACGUG